GUUGGUGUAGCUCAGUGGUAGAGUGCAUGCUUUGUAUGUCCUGGGUUCAAUCCCCAGCUUCUCCC